AUUGGACGCUGGCGGCAUGCUUUACACAUGCAAGUCGAACGGCAGCGCGGGCUUCGGCCUGGCGGCGAGUGGCGAACGGGUGAGUAAUACAUCGGAACGUGCCCAGUAGUGGGGGAUAGCUCGGCGAAAGCCGGAUUAAUACCGCAUACGACCUGAGGGUGAAAGCGGGGGAUCUUCGGACCUCGCGCUAUUGGCGCGGCCGAUGGCAGAUUAGCUAGUUGGUGGGGUAAAGGCCUACCAAGGCGACGAUCUGUAGCUGGUCUGAGAGGACGACCAGCCACACUGGGACUGAGACACGGCCCAGACUCCUACGGGAGGCAGCAGUGGGGAAUUUUGGACAAUGGGCGAAAGCCUGAUCCAGCAAUGCCGCGUGUGUGAUGAAGGCCUUCGGGUUGUAAAGCACUUUUGGCGGGAACGAAAAGGACUGUGCCAAUACCACGGUUCGAUGACGGUACCCGAAGAAUAAGCACCGGCUAACUACGUG
rnacentral:rRNA from 1 species